AUGGGCAAACCACUUCCGGUUUCCUGUGAGGAGGCAUUGCUCGGAUUAGCAUUCGUACCCUUCUGUCAUCUUGGGGUGCAUAAGGACCUGCAAGGCGGCCUUCUGCCUCCCCUUGUUUUAUCUAUGAGGAGUAUGAGUUCCCAGAUGAAAUUGUAAAAGGGAUCUUCAAGAACCCUGGUGAGCCACUGGUGCACCUCCCCAACCAGCUUGUGAAGCAGGUGGAGCCCCAAUCACCUUCCAGGGCCUUGGUGACCACUCCCCGCACUCCUAGCAUGCCUAUGGGCACUGGGUUGAACCCCAGACAUCUUCAGGAACCCCGGUGAGCCUCCC
rnacentral:lncRNA from 1 species